GCCAAAGCAUAUGGGCAUUAGCUGAUAUAUUAUUGACUUGAAUUCCUUGUGUGAUUGUGUUUUAUUUAUUUCAUCCGUAUAGUUGAGAUAAUUGAGGUGGUUAUGUAUUAUAUUCACAUUGAUUGAUUGAGAUGCAUCAUCAUCCCCUCUAUUGAAACAAUAUUGUGCACAGGCAUAGAGAUGAGACUGAGUAUAAGUUGGGCACGUGGAGAUCGUCCGUGCUGGGGAUGGUGAGAUGUUAAGAUUGUAAUUUGGGCACGUGGAGACCGUCCGUGCGAAAAUUGUUUGAUAUUAUGAUAGUGCGUUGAGAUCGUCCGCACAGACACGUGGAGAUCGUCCGUGUCGGUAUAUGGACCUCGCGAGUCCCCCAUGGGUCAUGAACUCUCGAUGUAUUUUCGAGGAGUAUCAUGUAUGGUUGAGUGAGUACUGGGUAUUCUGAGACAUAUCAUUACAUGGCAUCAUAUUGCAUUGCAUUUCAUCCCAUCAUUCAUUCUUGAUGACUAUAUGUUUCGUUUGGUGUUUGGAAAAUAUUAAAUGUUGAUUUUCUUUAUUGAUGAAACUUAAGUAGUAAGUGUAAUAUAUAUAUAUACUUGUACAAUCUAAGAAUUUAUUUUCUUAUAUAACUCCCGUCACUACUUCUUCGUUGUCGGUCAAUGAGACAUACUGGGUACACGUGGUUUCGUACUCAUACUACACUUGCUGCACUUUUUGUGGUGCAGAUUGAGUGAUUGACUUUCAAUUUGGGAACGUUCUUCGAAAUUGGAUAUGAGUUUGAAUUAUCUUGGAGUUGUGGUGUGCUGUUUGGGAUAUUCUGCGGCCCACACCUUCAGUCUACCUCUAUUUAUUAGGUUAUUUUGUUAUGCUGAUAGGAUAAUUCUUAUGUUUAGAUUUUUAUAUUAGUUUGGAAUUGUAUCAUAUUGUAGAAGCUCUUGUACUUAUGACACUAAAUCUUGAGGUAGUUUUAUUUAUAUUCCGCAUUUAUUUGAAUACUUAGUAUGUUAGAUAUUAGUUUGAUACUUAUCUUUCUCACGUUUAAGUUGAAUUGGUGAUACUUGUUGGGUUGGCUUACCUAUCGGUUGGAAACAUAGGUGCCAUCACGACUCGUGAUUUGUGGGUCGUGACAAAUUGGUAUCAGAGCCCUAGGUUCAUCGAUCUCACGAGUACAAGAGCUGAGUCUGUAUAGUCUUAUGGAUAGGUGCGGAGACGUCCGUUACUUAUCUUUGAGAGACUACAGGACUUUAGGAAACUUUCUUCUUUCAUUCCUAAUCGUGCGUGUGUGGUUUGGUUUAAGGUAAAAAUUCUUGUUUCAUUCUCUCACCAACGGUGAGUAGACAUUUCAAAUUUGACAUUUGUGGUAGGGGAUGAUAUUAUGCUGUUUAGUACGUAAGUUGUGUGGUUAUAUAAAUAACUUAGUAUUGAGCAUUUCGAAUUUUAAUAAUGAAAUUGACGAGGUUUGAAAUAGUAAGAACAACUUUCUCAUGGUGUGAUUUAGACAAGGAUACUUGAACUUCAUGUGAAUUUACUAGGGACAAUUUUAUAACAUGUGUUUAUGAUAUGUGAAUAAUUUAGUAAUGAAAUGGUAUAUGUUGAUGCCUUGAAGAUAAUGAUAAGAUUAGGAACAUUCAAUUGAUCAAAGAAGAGUUUAGCCAUUAUGGUAAGGCUAUGGGAAAAAGUUGAGUAGAGAUAUAAAAUGUGAUCACUUAUCAUGAUGUUGAGAGACUAAGAUUUGUUAUAAGAUUUGUAUGACAUAUUUCCCUUUUUAUCCUUUAGAGUGGAGGUAUAUUGAAGAUAAAUUGAAUAGUUCAAGUUGAAUGGCACGAUGACCAUAUUGAUAUUUCAUUUGAUAGAAUCAACAAGGUGAGUUAAGUUAAAUACAUCAAGAGAUCAUAAAAGGCUAUACUAAUAUCGACUAGCAAGAAUAUUUUAAUGAAUAAUUAAUGAUAAAUAGUGAUAAAUUCAUAUUGCGGGGAGCUUUUUAUAUAUUGAAUUAAGGAUCAGUAAUAUUGUUUAAAUUGAGAGGGGAGAAAAAAAAAUUCUUUUGUCAAAGGAUGUUGGAAAGGAUACUCGUAUGAAGCUAUAUGAGAACACUUGUAGAGAUGGGUACAAAAUAGUUAUGAAUCAAUACACAGAUCAUAGAACAAUACAGUGAUGAUUGGUUAUAUUACCUCCGCAAAUAAAUAACUGUAUUUGAGUAACCUGAGUUGUCCAAAGUAUAGUUCGAUAUGCUCUCGGUUGACUAUAAUUUUAUUUCGAAAGUGGAUCUACUUUAUUUUACGUAAGUAUGUACCUUAUUUUGAAUCUGGAUAUGUUUUGUGACCUUUUCUCUUAUGCCUAUACAUAUUCCCACACCUGCAGAUGGUUCUUAGUGGUAGAUCGAUUACAUCGAUCUUAUAUUGACUUAAUAGUAUAUGACACGUGGAAAAUCAUAGUUAUUUUAUAUGAGGAAUAUUUAAACAUCAUUUGGUUAUGGAUUGAAUUUCUCAUUGUCAUGAAAUUUAUGACUAUAAGUGUAAGACACUAACUUCAAAUAUUUCUAAUAUUUAAAAAUUUAAGUGGCAGGAUAGUAUCAUCACCCAUUUAAGAAAGACAUCAUUGUCUCUAAAGUUUCACUGUGAGGAAUAAGGGUUGCUUCACCUAUUCGUCUUAAAUUGUGAUACUAGUGAUGCUAUGUCUCUUUUAGAAAUCAUUUAAAUGGUGCAAGAAUUUUUCUAAGGGCAUUCCAUGUGAGAUUGAUAUAAAAAAAUUAGUAUUGACUUAUAGUUAAACACUUGGCCUAUUUCUAUUAUUUCUUAUUGGAAUACUUUGAUAAAUUUGAAAGAACGAUAACAAGACUUGUUGAGUAAGGAAUUUUGUUGGAUCAAGUACAUUUUUAUUGGGUGUUUCUAUCAUAUUGAGAUUCCUUUGUUAUUAUUUUCAUCUAGAAUAUAUUGGUAUACUCCCAUAGUAGGAAGGAUCACGAGCAUUAUUUGAGGAUGAUUCUCUAGACUCUGAAGAAAAUUAAGCUUUAUUCAUGUUUUUUUAAAGUGUGGAUUUCGAUUAGUUUGGUGGCAUGGUUGAAAUGUAAGUGACCAAGAAAUAUAUUAACAGGGAUCCCAAGAGAAUUGAGGCAGUUUGAAAUUGGGACUGACCUAUUUUAGCUAUGAUAUUUGGAUUUUCUUACGCCUAGUUGGUUAGUAUCAAUGGUGCUCACAUUCAUUACACAUGCAUUAACUAGAUUAACCUAGAAAUAAUCGGCUUUUCAAUGAUUUGAUGUGUGUGAGGUGAGUUUUCUAAAGCUCAAUGUUGGGCUAUUGCCCAUGUUUCAACCAAGGGGCUCAUCGUCUAAUCCUACUUGAAAAUGAAUUGGAUUUAUUCUUUUUAUUUUGUUUUCAAUUCUAUUCGGAAAAGGAUUUAAAUUGUAAUCCUAUUUCCAGUUGGUUUUGACUUGUAGGAAAAAAAAAACACAACUCUAUAAAUAGAGGAUGGUCUUGAGGGAAUAACUCAACUACUCAGUAGUAUUUCUUUUGAAAGACUUUAGGACAUAAUAGAUUUUUUUUAGAGAGCUUUUAACAAGAGAAGAGAGAGGAGAGAAGAGAGAAGAAAAAGGUUUGUUUUGCUGCAUUUUUCCCUUCGACCAAAAAACUUCAGAUUGUAUUUCCUGAUUAAUUAACCGUUGGAUCGAGCUGAAAUUUGGAUUGAGUGUUCGUGACAUGUUAAUGGUUGAUUUGAACGGUGGAGAUCGAAUUCAGAGGUUAGUAUGAUACUGAUUUUAGGCCCGAACAACAGGUGUGUUUGGAUGGUCUUUCUUUAUAUUUAUCUUUUGGUUGGGUAUUAAUGAAGAAAGGUAAGUAAUAGCUUAUGCUUCGAGAUAGUUGAAAGUUCAAGAGAAGAACUGUCUUAGUUAUAGCUUAAACUUGGUGGUGGUGGUGCUUGCAUUAAAAUUGUAGAGGCAUUUAUUUAUAGUGUGUAUUGCGAGGUGUUUAGUAUAAGUUUUAAUAAGAGAAAUCUAAAUUUAAUACAAUGGAUAUGGAAGUUUCUCAAGGAUUAUGGAGUGAUUAAUCUUUAUCGUAUGGACAAAACAAAUGUGCUAGUAGAUUACUUAGGGCGAAAUACAGUGAGUAUGGGUAGUCUACCUUUGUUACAUGAGGUGAGAUGCUUAUUCAUGUUCGAUAGUUUGGUGAUGGAAAUUUGUGUACGACUUACGAUAAGGUGUUAUAAGGAGAAGUCAAGGAAGAAAUUCUUGGUGGUGAAUGAGUUUUAAGUAUUAUAGACUUAAUUAUGUUCUUCCAAUAUGUGAGCUGACUAGAUUAAUCAUGAAAGAGUUCGAUAGUUCAAUUUUUUUAUUUUAUCUAGAGGCAAUUGUAGUAUAUUUUAUUUUGAAGCAAUAUUAUCGAUAGUAUUGUAUGAAGGGAUUGAAUUUGUAUCUCGUGUUUGAAUUGUUAUCAAGAAAAUUAUGAGCACCAAAAGCAUGAAAGUAGGAAUUAAAUGAUGCUUUUAUACUAGAGUUGGAGUGGAAAUAUAUUGUUAUGAAAUUUUUGGCAGGGUUGCCACGUAUCUUGUGCAAGUUUGACGUUAUAUGGGUUAUAAUGGACCGAUUGACCAAGUGUAUAUAUUUUAUAUUAGUUCAGAUUACUUGUAGUUUGAAUAAGUUAGUCUAGAUUUACAUUCAGGAGAUAGUUACCUGUAUGAGAUGCCCAUUUUAAAUUUAUUUGAGAUACAUAAUUGAUAUCUCAUGUCUGGAUGUCUAUGCAUAUGGAGUUGGUACUAGGUUGGAUUUAUUACAAGCUUUCACCUUCAAUUUGAUGGUCUGUUGAUAAACUAUUUAGGUCUUAGAGGACAUGUUUCAGGCGUGUGUGAGAAACUUUGGUGGUGAUUGGGUCAAGUUCUUAUUUUUAGUAGAGUAUACAUAGAACAACAAUUAUCAUUUGAAUAGUGAGAUAGCGUCAUUCGAGAUAUUGCAUGGUAGGACAUAUUGAUAUCCAAAAGAUAAAUAUGAUGUACUGAGCUGAUUGGGUUGUGGGACACUGACCGAUUGAGAAAAUUCUUAUAUAAGGUCAAGUCCUUCAAGAUAGGUUUCUCAUCGCUUAAAAACAGGUGAGAGUUAUACAAAUUAAAAAGGUUCGUGAUUUAUAGUUCAUGAUUGGAGGACAUGUUUUGUUAAAGGUUUCACUCAUAAAAGGUGUGAUGAGAUUCAAAAAGAAAGGAAAGUUGAACUUGAGUUAUAUUGUUUUUUUUUUAUAGUUGACUGUAAUAGUAAUGUUUUUGAUAUUCAAGAAGUAUCAUCUGGAUGAUCAGGCUACUAAGGAGUACAAUUCAAACAUAUAGACCAGAUAUCUCUAACUUUUUGAGCGUCUAUUGAUAUCCUAUUAUUUUACCGUUCGAGGACGAACGUUUGUUUUAGUGGUAGAUGAUGUAACGACCCGCUAGGUCGUUUUGAAAACUAGGACUAGUUUGACUCCAUUGAAAAAUUUAAAGGGGUAUUUUUAAACUAUUAGAUAACUAUGAUUACCCAAUUGAUGAAACUUUUAUUAAAUAGUAAUAUAGAUAGUAGGUUAGUGGGGUUUCACGGUUAAUAAACUCUUGUUUAGAAAAAAAAUGGAUGCGAAACCUUACCACAGGCGACCAGCGAGAGGGAGAAAAAUCAUAGUCAUUGUUCCGGUAAAGAUAUGAGAUAUUCGUUCGUUCAAUUCUAUAUAUAGUAAUAUAUUGUCGGAGUGCUUGGGAUUAUGUUAUUAUUUUAUGCUAUAUUGAUAAUGGGUGAUAAGAAAUAAUGGGUAAGUUGGUGAUGAUUACUAAAUUAUAUUACAUUGUUAGUAAUUGGGUUAGUAUUCAAAAAAAAAAUAUAUAUAUAUAAAAUCGAUCGAAGUCGAAUAGUUGAAUGGCUGCAGGUUAAUGUUUUCUGUGAUUUUGUCAAAAGAAUUUAUUAUAUAUAUUGUUAGUUUCAGAAUGGUAGGAAUAAGAUUGAGCCAAUCAUUGUCAAUGAUUGCCAAUGAUUGGAAUUUGAUAAAUAUUCUAGAAAAUUGGCACUUGUUUACAAAUGGGUUUCUGCAAAAAAAAAAUAAUAAUAAUGUAUACAAUGAUAAUAGAUUUUUUUAAUUGGUAGUUAAUUAUUAGGUGUUAUUUUAUAUGAUCUAACAUUGAAUUUUAGUCCAUUUGAAGAGGUUAGAGUUAAGUUCUUGGCUUGAAAUUUAGCAAGUAUGAAAAAUUUGGCAUGCCAAUAUAUAUCAAGAUUUGGAGUUUGUUGAAAAGAAUGAGUGAGUGUUAGCGUCUAUGAUAGACAUAUAAUAAUUUGAAUGUCUACAAAAAUUGCUUACUUACGAAUAUUGCAAAAUUGGUAGAUUGGGAACGUUCCGAAACCUUGCGAAAAGGAAAGGAAAAAUCUUAAAAGAUUCGUGGCACAAGCUCGGCAUCUAAGGUAUGUUAAGACUUUUUAGACUUGUUGAAGGACGUUUUCCUAAUUAAAGAUUAAAAAAAUGAAAAUAGACAAGGGGUUAGGGGGAAAGAUGGUGGUCUCGUAUCAAUGGUGUGACGGGCAUUGGAACGAGUACCGGUGUUAUAAAAAGGAAAAGUACUAUUAUAGAAUGUGGACUGAAAUUUGAGAAUGCCAAAGCAUAUGGGCAUUAGCUGAUAUAUUAUUGACUUGAAUUCCUUGUGUGAUUGUGUUUUAUUUAUUUCAUCCGUAUAGUUGAGAUAAUUGAGGUGGUUAUGUAUUAUAUUCACAUUGAUUGAUUGAGAUGCAUCAUCAUCCCCUCUAUUGAAACAAUAUUGUGCACAUGCAUAGAGAUGAGACUGAGUAUAAGUUGGGCACGUGGAGAUCGUCCGUGCUGGGGAUGGUGAGAUGUUAAGAUUGUAAUUUGGGCACGUGGAGACCGUCCGUGC
rnacentral:lncRNA from 1 species